rnacentral:lncRNA from 1 species
AGGCCAUUUUCAUUUCUAUCCAGCCAAGCCUCAAGUGUAGUACUACUACAUAUGCGUGUGUGUGUGUGUGUGCAAAGCAGCACUUGCAAGUGUGCUUUGCCAUUCUGCUUGUUGCUUCGGUAGUAUACUUGAGUGCAAGUAGUAGUAGGCUAGUACCACACAGCCGUUGCCCUGUGUAGUUCAUCUCAUCCUUGACUUCGUCCGAUCCUGAGUAGCCAGCUACUCUGUACGUAGUUCGGGCUGACAAUUGGCAUCAGAGCCUCAGGUUAUGCCGAAAGGAGGCAUCGCCGACGAUGGUUCCAAGACCGCCGAGCAAAGCUCGACUAAGGACACCCGUGCGGCGGACGCGCUCGCGCUGUGAGGCAGGCCGGGAGGUGAGCUGGGUGUGCCACGCUCCGUGCGAGACGUGGGCAUGUCCAGUACCUCCUUCUCUCUCCUCACGCGGACCAACUAUCCCAGUUGGUCCGUCCUGAUGAAAGUCAUCAUGGAGGCGCGGCAUAUGUGGGAAGCCGUGGAAACCGGCAAUGUCGAGUACGAGGAGGACCGGCUGGCGAUGGAGGCGAUCUUGCACUCCGUCCCAGAGGAGAUGGUGCUCACCCUUGGCGCCAAGGAGACGGCCAAGGAAUCAUGGGACACCAUCAAGACUCUACGCAUCGGCGUGGAGCGCGUACGGGAGUCGAAGGCCCGGACCUUGCGCCUCUAGUACGAGGAGAUCCGGUUCAAGGCCGGUGAACAAGUCGACGACUUCGCCUUGCGGCUGCAAGGUCUCGUCAACGAGCUCGCAACGCUCAGAGAUCACACCGACAACAAGAUGGUGAUUCUCAAGUUCCUCCGCGUCGUCACCAGAUAGUGCAAGCAACUGGCCUGGUCCAUGGAGAGUUUGGUGGAUCUCUCCACCAUGGCGAUCGAGGAGCUGGUAGGGCGGCUGAAGGUCGUCGAGGAGCGCGGCGACGAAGCCGACAACCGUGCUGGCGACGAACUACUGCUCACCAGGGAGCAGUGGGACGCGCAGCUUCAGCGACUCCGACCAUGCUGGUGACGUGGAUACAGCGACUCCGACCAUGCUGGUGACGUGGACUCCCGGAAGAGCACCUCGGGCAUACUGUUCCUUCUCGGGAAUAGUCCAGUCAGCUGGCAAUCGGUGAGGCAGAAGGUUGUCGCUGCAUCUUCGUGUGAGGCGGAGUACAUAGCGGCAGCUACAACGGCCUGUCAAGGCAUUUGGCUUGCUCGCCUUCUUGGCGAGAUGCUGAAUCAGAACACCGCCCCUGCGCUCAUCUUCAUCGACAACAAGUCGGCGAUUUCGCUCUGCAAGAAUCCAGUGCUUCAUGACCGCAGCAAGCACAUCGAUCUGCGCUAUCACUUCAUACGUGACUGCGUCGAGAAAGGCACGGUGAUCGUGGAGUUCAUCAGGACUGGUGAGCAGAAGGCGGACAUCCUGACCAAGUCACUUGGUCGCGUCCUGUUCCAAGAACUGCGCGACAAAGUCGGGCUCAUGGAUAUCAAGCUCCUUCGACAAGGUUGAGGGGGAGAUAAUUGGGUCAACCAUAGUCUUCGGUUGCAUGCACGCAUCAGCAGUAGCUUCCUUGGCUUGAAAGGAAGUGGUAUUCACCUAGUAGUUUCCUGGUAGUUCACUUAGCAUUGCAGGGAAGUUGACUAGUAGUAGACUAGAGCUGUGCAUGCAAUUACGUAGUAGCUUCCUAGUAGUUUCUAGAAAUAUGCUUUGCAGGGUAGUGGUAGCAGUCCCGUGAGUGGCAUGUAAGUACGUAGGUAAUUUCGUGUGUGUGUGUGUGUGUGCGCAUUGUGCACGACCAGCCCUAUAAAAGGACCCCGGUCCUUCGGUUGUAAUAAGGCCAUUUUCAUUUCUAUCUAGCCAAGCCUCAAGUGUAGUACUACUACAUAUGCGUGUGUGUGUGUGUGUGUGUGUGUGUGUGCAAAGCAGCACUUGCAAGUGUGCUUUGCCCUUCUGCUUGUUGUUUCGGUAGUAUACUUGAGUGCAAGUAGUAGUAGGCUAGUACCACAUAGCCGCUGCCCUAUGUAGUUCAUCUCAUCCUUGACUUCAUCCGAUCCUGAGUAGCCAGCUACUCUGUACGUAGUUCGGGCUGACAAUUGGCAUCAGAGCCUCAGGUUAUCCCGAAGCAUAUGCCGAAAGGAGGCGUCGCCGACGAUGGUUCCAAGACCGCCGAGCAAAGCUCGACUGAGGACACCCGUGCGGCGGACGCGCUCGCGCUGUGAGGCAGGCCGGGAGGUGAGCUGGGUGCGCCACGCUCCGUGCGAGACGUGGGCAUGUCCAGUACCUCCUUCCCUCUCCUCACGCGGACCAACUAUCCCAGUUGGUCCGUCCUGAUGAAAGUCAUCAUGGAGGCGCGGCAUAUGUGGGAAGCCGUGGAAACCGGCAAUGUCGAGUACGAGGAGGACCGGCUGGCGAUGGAGGCGAUCUUGCGCUCCGUCCUAGAGGAGAUGGUGCUCACCCUUGGCGCAAGGAGACGGCCAAGGAAGCAUGGGACACCAUCAAGACUCUGCGCAUCGGCGUGGAGCGCGUACGGGAGUCGAAGGCCCAGACCUUGCGCCUCCAGUACGAGGAGAUCCGGUUCAAGGCCGGUGAACAAGUCGACGACUUCGCCUUGCGGCUGCAAGGUCUCGUCAACGAGCUCGUAACGCUCGGAGAUCACAUCGACAACAAGAUGGUGAUUCUCAAGUUCCUCCGCGUCGUCCCCAGGCAGUACAAGCAACUAGCCUGGUCCAUCGAGAGUUUGGUGGAUCUCUCCACCAUGACGAUCGAGGAGCUAGUAGGGCGGCUGAAGGUCGUCGAGGAGCGCGGCGAUGAAGCCGACAACCGUGCUGGCGACAUGCUGGCAACGAACUACUGCUCACCAGGGAGCAGUGGGAGGCGCAACUUCAGCAGCGCGGCCGCGACGGCUCUUCCGGCAGUGGGGGAGGCGCCCCCACGGGAAGCAGAGGUCGCGGCAGAGGCGGUGGCCGCGCCCAGAGCGGUGGCGGCAACCGCGGGCGCAAUCCAAUCCAGGCAGGGCGAGGCAGUACAACAGGAACCCCCCUAUAGCAACACAUUUUUCCGUAUCUAGAAGACCAUAUAUGCGUUGUUAGUGUCUUUACCAACGGUUUAGGAUGCGUUGCCUUAUCCGGCGUUGCUAGCGCAUAAUGCAACGCUUAUAGGCCCUGUUUGGUUCGGCUGUGGAUUUCUAAAAGCAGCUGUGAAAAAUCUGUUGUGAAAAAGCAGCUGUGGAAAAUCUGAUGUGAAAAAGAUGUAGGUCAUUUGUCAAACAGCUGAUACAACUUUUUCAGAUUUUGGCCCGCAGCGGAAUCAGAUUUUGAAAAGCACGUCCUGGGCUGCUUCCGCUUUUGGUUCAGAUUUUGGCAGCGGAUUUCUGAAAUUGGAUUCUGCUGGAUUCGCUGUUUGGUUCAGAUUCUGCUGCGCGGCAGCGGAAUCCGUCGAUAAAAGCUGAACCAAACAGGGCCAUAUUAUCGUUGGUAAAAGAGACCGUUGCAAGAGUACAACACAUAAAACAGACUUGUCCAACACUUCUAUGUGUUGGAGGGCUUGGCAACAAAGAAUACUUGUCCAACACUUCUAUGUGUUGGAGGGCUUGGCAACAAAGAAUUUGCAACGCGGUUCAUAUAUAAUGUGAAUAAUAUUUUUUUAUACAUAUUGCCAACAAUUAAAUUAGUGAUUUACAUAAUUGUGAUAAUUAUGAAUUUCCAGUAAAGACAAACAAGAGAAUAUACUCACAAGAGGAAGAAAUCAUAUAUUAAAUAAAACUGUUGGAUUACAAUAGUGCAUAUUACACAAGAAAAAUCAUCCACAUGGGAAGUAUAAUCUAAAUGUUUCUUGACGGCAAAACUUAAAUUGAAAGCAUCCCUACAACGUAACUAAAACACAAUCGAGGAACAUCAUCCAACAGGAACAUCAUCCCUACAACUUAACUAAAAUUGAAACCAUCCAUCUUCAUCAUCAUGAACAUGAACAUCAUCAUCAUCCUUGUAGUAUACUUGCCACACACACCAAUAGAAUCAUCCAUUUAUCUUUUGAAUCUACAAACAAAAAAACAAAAUGAACUGUUAACACACAAUGCAUUGACAUGAUGCAAGUAGUCAUAGAGGGAGGAUAUUACUCACUUACAGAGGUUGAGAUGCAAAAACAAAUCUACAUUACCAAGAGUAUUGCAGUUUUUGCGACUCUGUACCCAAUCUUCAAUUUUCACAAGUGCCAUAUCAACAUGCACUACCCAGAAUUCAUUAGUAAUUUCAGCACCAUCAAGUUCAAAUUUAGGAUCACAACUUACAACUGUAGCAAGAGCUACAUGUGUUAUGAUUUUUUAGGCUCAUUAAAAAUACUUUUGUUCCUACCUGUUAGAGAAAAUCAAAGUUACCAUUGGCAGAAUCAUGUCAAGCAAAAUAAUUAAUAGAAACGCGACAUAUAACAGAAAAGGUUGAGAGGCCAAGACAUGUCGUGCUUGCAUCUUCCCCUCUACUAUAUGGUUAUGAAUACAUCUACAGGUUAAUCUCAUGAUGUGCAACAUCUAUGAAAUUCUAUGAAGCCUUUCACUACAAACAAAGUAGUUUUGGUGAUGGACGCUGAAAAUAAUUAAACUUCAUAUGAUAGCUUCAGUGUAGAACACAAAGAUAGACAUUUUUAUUCGAGUAGCAGUAUGGUAUGAUCAACUGCAUAAUUCUGAGGCACCUACCGGAAGAUACUGAAGCAGAAUGUUUGGCCAUUAAUCAAGUAAAAACAUAUUACUAUAUCAAUACCUGGGACAUAUUAAGCCAAAAGAUAAAUUAAAUUUACCAAAUUAGUGCAAAUAAAACAUAUUAGACAAUAAAAAGAAGCUUUGAAGCAUAAGAUCUAUCAUAAAUGGAGUACUCCCAGUACCGACCCAAUGAUUUUGCAUGAAGUGCAGCAUGGACAGCAGGGCGGAUCAACCAUUAGUUCAUCUUUACCACCAACUCCUAAUAAAAUAGCUAGUAUAUAUCCAGAUCAAACUCUAAAUAGCACAUCUGAGCAGAUAAAUCAAAGGCAGUGACACUAUUAAGAAAAGGAGAAGACACGGCAGAGAAAACAAGACUGUAGUAUGUUCGAACAAAUAAUUAGGAUGUCUUGUUUGUAGACUACAAAUACAAAUCAGAUAUAGAUACGGCGAUCUAUUUAGUUGGAAGUUGCAGGCAUCCAAAAAAUAAUAUUGAAUGUGGUCUAAUAAUUGAACGACACUACAGAUGGACCAUGCCAAUUAAAGUUAUAUAGAAACAAUUGACAUUAUUUUUCUUUUUCUUUUUGCAAUCCAUCAGUACAUGACCUCAUGAUGAAUCAGAAACAUGGAAGUAUUUAUAAAGUUGCCAUAUGCUACAAUUUUACUUCUCUUUUCCUCAUGGUGUGUAUUCUUCCUUGUAAAGGAAAAGCACAUCAAGAGAAUAAAGGAGUGACACUACGGAUGUAGGCAAGCAUGGUAUAAAGCGGAAGCACGAACCACAAAAGAAGUGUCUAGAAUUUGGCAAACCAGCAGACAGAACCGUGUAGGUAUAUGUUGUUAAUAAUAGGAGAAGGGGUCAUCAAUCAAAUUCCAAUAGCCAAGUGAAUAAAUGGAAAACAUCCAUGGUUUUCUAUUCCUGGAACACAAUCUAGUUCAGCUAUCAUUAAAAAAUACAGAAGUCAGAUAAGUUGUAAUAGGUGUGGAAUUUUAUCUAACAUGUCACUUGACUAAAUAAGUACUACUCGUCUCAGCAUAGUUUUAUAAGAUUUGUUUCUCUUCUACUGUAUUUAGGGGUUACACAGUAAACAAUUUAUGUUCAUAAAUCAUAUGUAAAUCGCAAGAUCUGCUUGCAUAAAAAAAUUGAUAUGACACGCAGCUCACAUAAGCAUCUUUUAAAUGGCAAGCAUAGCUCGUUGUAGAUGUACUCAGUAAUAUUUUUCAGAGUUUUGUGACAAGCAACAGUAAUUGAUCAACAGAUUACCUUCCUUACGCUCUUGAACUCCAACUAUAGUGGGGAGAAAGCCUUAUGCGGCUGAGUGUUAAUGUCACUAGAUGCUGAUGGAUGAUCAUGCGGAGAACUGUGGAUCAGAAGCCCUCAGAUCCAACAAGUACUCGGCUUUGCCAUGCUCUGCACCGAUGUCCUUCUCCCCCAGCGUCCCAGCGGCCUAGUUGACCGAGCUGCAUAAAGCUGUCAAGUUGCUCCUCAGUUGUAGUAGCAGAGAACACAGAGAUCUAAAUGGUCUUUUGAGCGAAUGAAAUAUGUAAACAAAUUACUGAAUUGUGACUCAAAUAAAAGAGAGGGAGAAAGUUUUGGGGUCAUGUCCAUUGCAACAUAUCCAGUGCUUGAGUGCCAUUGCAUUUCUCUGCACCGAGUGGAGGUAACCUGCUUUGAAGUCUCGGAAACAAAUAUGACCAUAUGACGGUGUGAAUGAUCAGGCCUACAACAUAAGCAAGUGGCACCGUAAGCAGAAAGUGAAACAUUGAAUAAUCAACAUCAACCACGAGAAUAAGACAACAAGCCCUAUUAUACAAUCAGUCAAUCACAUAAUCAACAACAGGAACCAACGACUGCACAAUCAAGUUCACUUCCAUGGACUGGUGACAACCUCCUAAGCCACAACUAGAAUCAAUUCAAUCACAGAAAGAGGAUUUAGCUGGAAGCUCCCCUCCACACCAACCAGCUGUAAUUCAGUCUGUCGUUCAUUAUCAGGGAUUGGCAAGUCGUAAGUACCAAUCCCCAACUAGAUUGAAGUGAAACAGAGCAUGAUGGGGCCAACAAAAUUGGGACAAGAGAAGCGGCCCGGCUCACCGCGGCAGGCGCGAUCGCGAGGGUGGUUGUAGCUGCAGCUCUUCCCGUAGCCGCAGGCCCCCGUGCGGAGGUAGUAGACGCAGUUGGUCGCAGGGGAGCGAUGACGAGGGGCGGCGCGCCGGGAUGCAGGGUAUCAGGGGAGUGGUGACGAGCGACGGUGCGCCGGGAUGGAGGGUCGCAGGAGAGUGGUGACUGGUGAGGGGCGGCGUGCCGGGACGGAGGAUCUCAGGCGAGCGGUGAGGAGCGCGCUCCGGGAUGCAGGGUAGGUCGAGGGGAGGCGGCCGGCGAGGGGGCCUAUAGGCUCGAGAGGAAUAAGGGAUGCUGGGGACAGGGAACGAUCUAGGUUAAUCAUGACAACCAGCUUGGGCCGGGCUAGAGAUAUGUGUUGGGCUUUUGUUCGAGUUUGGCCGGUCACACAAUAGGUCAUGAGCUGCAAGCCUGCAACAGAUAUGGUACAAUGCUUGUAUGCGUAUCUUUUUCGAUAAAAGGCGCUUUUAUUAUCUCAAAAUGUAGCAUCAAAGUGAUACAAAGCAUUAAGAGUAUCACCCGACCUCUGCAUAACUAAGAUGCACACAGCCAAACACCAGUAGUCUGAUAAACAGAAAGAUAAAAGACCGACAAUUCGGCAACAGUAGAGUCCAUAGACCGACACUAUGCCUAUGUCGAAAAAGAUGAUGGACCGAGCCGGAGAUUAUGCUGCCAUCCAUGUUGGGUAAAACCUCUGUAGCCACCUGCUCCAACAGCGUACACACCGCCUUGAAUAGCGGUUGGUACUCCGCUCGUUGUAGCGUACACCACGUACGAAGCGAGUGCGUACAACGGAAAAUAACCUGCAAAGGAGAAACAGUUUUGUCAAUUAAAACAACAUCAUUUCUACAUAGCCAAAGCGACCAUAGUAAGGCAUACGCUCCCACCCUUAUUAGUGUUUUGUAUGCAUUUGAAAUACCGUCCAGUCAAUGACCAAAAAUAUUGGCAACACUUGUGGGCGGAUACAAAUUUGACACUAUUUGGAUGGCUGACCACGUAGAACACGCAAACUUACAGUGAAAAAAGAGGUGUUUAAUUGUCUCGUCAUGAGUACAAAAACAACACUUCUUACUUCCCGACCAGUUGCGUCGUGCAAGGUUGUCUUUUGUUAGCACAACUCCCCUACGGAGAUACCACAUGAAUAUUUUAACUUUAAGUGGUACCUUCGCUUUCCAAAUUUUUUGGUUAUUACUCACCGGUACCUCAGAAUGCGUGAGUGCACGAUACAUAGAGUCUACUGUGAAAAACCCUGAUGUAGUAAGGUUCCAACGAAACACAUCACGACCUUGUGUCAGGAUAAUCGAAUCUAGACGGGACAAUAGAUUAUUCCAUGACAUAAGUCGGGUGCCAAUCAAAUCCCGCCUGAACGAAAUAUUUGGCGGGGAUGAGCUGAACACUUGUGCAAUAGUAUUAUUCUUAUCGCGUGCAAUGUUGUAUAAGGCUGGAUAUUGUUCUCAGAGGCUAGCAUUGCCUAGCCAGAUGUCUUCCCAAAAACGAAUCUCUGACCCGUCCUUUAUCGCGAAAGACCCAAAGCGAAAGAGAUGUUUCUUUGCCGCCAUUAGGCCAACCCAAAAGUGUGAGUCUCCAGGUUUCCAACAUACCUGAGACACUGCCUUUUGGCCUAUAUACUUAUUGCGCAGCAUGGUUUGCCAAACACCAUCCUCUGUAAGAAGUUUGAACAACCAUUUACUAAGUAGGGCCUCAUUCUUGACCUGCAGGUCAUGAAUACCGAGGCCGCCCUGGUCUUUCGGCCUACAAACCACACUCCAUUUGGUCAGCCUAUAUUUUUUCUUUUCACCAUCUCCUUGCCAAAAGAACCUGGACCUAAAAUAAUCCAAUCUAUGCAAGACCCCCUUUGGGAGCUGGAAGAACGAAAUCAUAUAGAGGACCAUAUUUGUGAGGACAGAGUUUAUUCGAACCAGUCGUCCUCCAACCGAGAGCAACUUGCCUUUCCAGCUGCCCAAGCGUUUCUCUAGUCGCUCCUCCACAUGCUUCCACUCGGCAAUGGUGAGACGCCGAUAAUGAAUUGGUAUUCCCAAAUAUUUAAUUGGGAAUUGUCCAUGUGCACAACCAAAAAGGUCGGCAUAAUCGGCCGCUGCAUCAACGGCUUCUCCAAAGCAGAACAAUUCACUUUUAUGGAAGUUAAUUUUAAGACCUGACAUUUGCUCAAACGCUGACAGCAAGAGUUUCAGGUUUCUAGCCUUGUCUAGGUCAUGUUCCAUAAAGAGAAUUGUGUCAUCGGCAUAUUGCAGAAUAGAGAGACCACCAUCCACUAGAUGUGGCACUACUCCUGUAAUCUGUCCGUCCUGCUUGGCGCGCUCAAUCAGAAUAGCCAACAUGUCAGCCACAAUGUUAAAUAGCAUUGGGGAUAUGGCAUCACCCUGUCGUAGUCCUUUUUUUGUCUGAAAGUAAUGGCCGACAUCAUCAUUGACUUUGAUGGCCACACCACCGCCAGUUACAAAAUUUUGGAUCCACUUGCACCAUUUAUCGGAGAAGCCUUUCAUCCUUAGGGCCUGUUGGAGGAAAGACCAUUUGACCUUGUCAUAGGCUUUUUCGAAGUCUAUUUUGAAUACUACCCCACUCAUGUUUUUUCGGUGCAUCUCAUGGACGGUCUCAUGCAGGAUUACUACGCCAUCGAGUAUGUUCCUUCCUUGCAUGAAAGCUGUUUGAGAUGGCCGGACAACAUGGUCAGCUACCGAGUUUAAUCUAUUCGUCGCCACUUUGGUGAAAAUCUUGAAGCUGACAUUAAGGAGGCAUAUGGGUCUGAACUGUUGAAUCCGUUCGGCCUCCUUAAUCUUCGGCAACAAGACAAUCUCGCCAAAAUUAAGUCUGAAUAGGUCAAGUCGGUCGGCAUGAAAACAAUUGAACAACUCUAAAAGGUCAGACUUGAUCAUAUCCCAGAAAUUCUGAUAGAAUUCUGCGGGGAAACCAUCAGGGCCUGGAGCUUUGUUAUGUUCCAUUUGGAACACCGCAGCUCGCACCUCCUCUUCUGAGAAUGGUGCCGUUAGGAUAUCGUUUUCUUCUGCCGUGACCUGUGGAAUAUCAUCUGUUCGGGUCUCAUCAAGGGUGAAAUUCCCUUCAGUCGGCGCUCUGAAAAGAGAUUUGUAGUAUUUGGUGAUAUACUUUUUGAGCUCCUCCUGACCUUCGAUCCUUCCCUCAUCUUGUAUGCGUAUCUACCGUGAAUAGUCAAAACGUUGUAAAAUAUGUGUUGCUUAAUGGAGGGUAUCCUUGUAGUUGGCGCUGGCAACGGUGGCAAGUGCCGCUACUGCAACAUGCCGGGUCAUUGGAUCUGGGAUUGCCGCAGGAGGAAAGCCGACGAGGCAGCCGCGGCAACGACAAACCUCGUCCAAGCUGACGUGGACGGCGGGCCGACAAUGAUGCUGGCAAGAGUCGAGCCCAUGCAGGAGAGCACAACAUCUCUCGCGACCACGAUUCCGACAACCACCCAUUCCGUGCAGGAGGCACGGAACCCGUCCACGGGAAUCAUCACUCCAGUGACAGGCCACACCUCGACAACGACGUUUUUGGGGCCUGUCGACUGGGUGGCGAUGAAGGCUCGGGUGUGGGGGCCGGAGCCACACCCCGGCGACGGCGUCCCCGAACUCGGGACCCGACGAGGUCGCACAAGUUGGCGCGGCAACGACGCGUAUGGCGGACCAUGCUCCGACCAUGAUGCUGGCGACCAUCGACUCCGUGCAGGAGCGCACGGAGACUCAGGUCAACCACACCACAACAACAAAGUGUUCGGGGUCCAUCGUAUUGACGGGAGUUGGCUCCCUGACAACGGCAUGUGCGUGCGGCUACGUCUUCCUCAACGAGGAGAGAGCCGUGACCACACCCACGCUUGCAGGCGGCAAGCAAAGUGAGGGUUGUUCCUCGACACCGGCGCCACGAACCACAUGACUGGUUCGGUCGACGCGUUCAUGGAGCUGGACCGCUCAAUCACUGGGAAGGUGCGGUUCGCGGACGGACCCAUGGUGGAGAUCCACGGGUGCGGGACCGUCGUCUUCGCCGACAAAGGAGGUGAUCAUAGGGCGUUCACGGACAUCUACUUCAUCCCGGCUCUCAAGAGAAGCGUCGUGAGUGUUGGACAACUCGACGAGGGCUGGUUCGACAUCGACAUCUGGCGCGGUGUUCUCACCGUGCACGACCAGCAGAAGAGGCUGCUCAUCGAGGUAACCCGCUCGGCAAACCGCCUCUACAAGCUCUUCUUUCGACCCGUGCGUCCUGUGUGCCUUGCCGUGGGCCAUGUCUCCGACGCAUGGCGUUGGCAUGCCCGGCUAGGACACCAGCACUUCGAUGGGUUGCGGAAGAUGGCGCGAGGAUACCUCGUUCAUGGGCUACCUCACAUCGAGCACGCCGACGAGCUGUGUGAUGCGUGUCUUGCCGGGAAGCAGCGGCGCCUACCCUUUACUGAGAAGGCACGCUAUCGGGCGCAGAAACCCCUGGAGCUGGUUCACGGGGACCUCUGCGGCCCAAUCACCCCGGCAACGCCAGGAGGGCGUCGCUACAUCCUGCUGCUCGUCGACGACUAUAGCAGGUUCAUGUGGGUGCUGCUCCUCGCCUCCAAGGAUGAGGCGGAGCAAGCCAUCGUCAAGCAGCAAGCGGCAGCAGAGGUCGAGUAUGGCCACAAGCUGCGCGUGCUGCGCACGGACCGUGGCGGCGAGUUCACGUCAGCCACGUUCUACAAGCACUACGAUGAGAACGGGGUGCAACGUCACCUCACAGCCCCUUACUCGCCGCAGCAGAAUGGCGUCGUCGAGCGGAGGAACCAGACGGUGUUCGGGAUGGCAUGCUGCAUGCUCAAGGCAAAGCAGGUGCCGAGCACGUAUUGGGGGGAGGACGUGCUCACGGCCGUCUUCAUCCUCAACCGCUCCUUCACAACGAGCAUCGACGGCAAGACACCUUAUGAGGCAUGGUAUGGGAGGAAGCCCAAUGUAUGCUUCCUCCGCACCUUUGGCUGCGUCGGGCAUGUCAAGACGGCGUGCCCACAGCUGAAGAAGCUCAACGACAAGAGCACCUCGAUGGUGUUCAUGGGCUACGAGACGGGCUCUAAGGCGUACAAGAUGUACGACCCCGUCUCAAAGCGUGUGCAUGUCUCGCGCUAUGUCAUCUUCGACGAAGACGCGCGAUGGACUUGGGAGGCGUCGGGGGAGGCCCCGGCAAGCAGCUCCUUCAUCGUGGAGUACCCGAUGUACUCUAGGACCCCGGGAAGCAAGACCCUGGGAAGUGCCACCCCGGGAAGCCCGAGAGGUGUGGAUCCGGGAACCGCAACCCCGAGAACACCGUCCCUGGGUACGGUGUCCCCGGACAACCCGACGUCAAGCAAGGUGGGUCCCGGGAGGCAGUUCGCAACCCUGCUAACGGCGAGGUCGGAGCUGUUCGACGCCGCUGACAGCGUUGGCACCCCCCACAGGUUUCGGCGCAUGGGGGAUCUCCUCGGCGAGGCUGCGGCAACACCGCAACAGCCCGAGGAAGAGGACGUUGAUGACGACGACGUCUUGCAUCUGAUGGCCGGUGAGGAGCCGACCACAUUCGCGGAGGCCGAGCAAAAGAUUGUUGGCGCCACGCAAUGCUGGACGAGCUGGCAUCGAUCAACGACAACGCCACUUGGACACUCAUCACACUGCCUGCUGGGCACCGAGCCAUCGGGCUCAAGUGGGUGUUCAAGGUCAAGAAGGACGAGCACGGCGCCAUUGUCAAGCACAAGGCAUGCCUCGUCGCAAAGGGCUACGUGCAGCGUGAGGGAGUGGACUUCGAGGAAGUCUUCGCUCCGGUGGCAAGGCUGGAGUCCGUGCGACUCAUCCUUUCCGUGGCUGCUCACCGCGGGUGGGAGGUACACCACAUGGACGUCAAGUCAGCGUUUCUCAAUGGCGACCUUAAUGAGGAGGUGUACGUCUCCCAGACUCCAGGGUUCGUUGCCAAGAACGACGAGCAGGGCGUGUACAGGAUACACAAGGCCCUGUAUGGUCUCCGGCAAGCCCCAAGGGCGUGGAACACCAAGCUUGAUGCAAGCCUCGCAUCCCUUGGGUUCUCACGCAGCGUUUCUGAGCACGACGUGUACUCGCGUGGCACCACGAACACGCUCCCCAUCGUCGGCAUCUACGUCGACGACCUAGUCAUCGCUGGGGCAGAGCCCGAAGAGGUUCGACGCUUCAAGGGAGAGAUGCAUCGUCUCUUCAAUAGCGACCUCGGGCUGCUCCGGUACUACCUCAGUCUAGAGGUAAACCAGGAGGGUGGUCGCAUCACGAUCACGCAGACGGCCUACGCCACCAAGAUGCUCGAGUGAGCAGGCAUGAAGGACUGCUAUGUUGUGCAUGCUCCAAUGGAGGCACGGCUGAAGCUCAGCAAGGAUAGCUCCGAGAAGGCGGUGGAUGCUACAUUCUACCGCAACAUCAUCGGGAGCCUCAGGUACCUCGUGCACACCCGACCGAACAUCACGUUCGUUGUCGGGUACCUGAGUAGAUUUAUGGAAGCCCCGGCAAGCGAUCACCUCGCUGCCGUUAAGCACCUGCUCCGGUACAUCGCAGGUACACUCACGCAUGGAUGCGUGUAUCGUCGUGGCGACGACGAGAGCUUGGUCAGAUACAGCGUCUCCGACCAUGCUUGUGACGUGGACUCCUGGAAGAGCACCUCGGGCAUACUGUUCCUUCUCGAGAAUAGUCCAGUCAGCUGGCAAUCGGUGAGGCAGGAGGUUGUCGCUGCAUCUUCGUGUGAGGCGGAGUACAUAGCG